ensembl:lncRNA
AGCUCUUGGAAGAGUGCCUGUGAUGGAGGCCUGAGUACAUUCUCUUACCUGGUGUUUGGCUGCAACUCUAGUACUUUAGGAACAUAGUGAAGUGUCACAUUAUCAGUCUGAUACUUGCAGACGUUGGCCAAAAUAAUCUAAGUCUAGGAACAACGUUAUAUGGGAACUGUUGAAUCACGCCCUCAACCUCUGAUUGACCACCUGAGAGUCCAUCAGACAGAAAAGAUUGUAAAAUGGGAGCUGCGUUUAUUUGAUUCUUCAGCCAAUUUCCUCCUGCCAUUUUUACCCAACUGGUCAUCUGUUCUCAAGAGUGAAUUUCUUCUUCCUCGACAAUAACAAAUCUGAUGAAACAUAAGGCAGUUCCCAGAAGGUAGAGAGCAGUUAGAUCAUAUGCCAUUUCCCUGAGCUCUUCUUGUAGAGAAGGGGAUUGAGGAGAGGAGUGGCUGCAUCCACCGCUCUGCCAGCAGUACUGAGCUGCUGCGUGAUUACCUCGAGGGCACCUUCUUUAUUGUGGGCCAGUUUAAAAGCUUGGGCAGUGGACCAGGAAGCCCUCACAACUUUCUCUGACUGCCUCUCCCUUUCUUAUUUGCCAAAUAUAAGCUUAAUGAAGCAGGAAGCCUUGCCCGCAUUCCACUGCUUUAUAUCUAUAUAAGUAAUCUAUAAUUUGUGUAGCUGAGUUCAGAGAGUUAGAUACCUAAUUUCCCAGUAGGAGGAUGAUUAUAUUGUAUGCCUCAUAUCUGUCUAUAGAUACAUGUUCU